rnacentral:sRNA from 1 species
GCCUACAAUUUGUAUGCAGUGGAUUUUCAGGGUUUUGUCUGAUAUGUAGAAUAAUCCAUAAACGAUCGGUAGGUGUUUGUAACACUCAGGAAGCAACAAAACCCUGAAAAUCCACUGCAUACAAAUUGUAGGCUU